CCAUUGGGGGACACAUGUCACCCUAUGGUUGAUGCCAAAUAAGCAGUCACAUCAUCAUACACUUGGCAUAUCUCAUAGGGGAGGAUUGAAUCUGGUUUCUCACAUACGCUAUACUCUCUCUCUCAUCUCUCAUAACCCUAAUUCAAUCUCCCUCUCUUCUCUUCUCUGGCGAACACGGCAACGAAACAAGAGCCAAUACUUUUGAUCAAGAAUCAACGUAUUUGAAGAUCUAACUCUACGGUACCAUUAAUCAGAAACCCUAAUCGCCGAUUCCUCUCCCUCCUCCGGAUCACAAUCUGCCUCUUCCGGAUCUCACUCAACAAUCGACGGUAAUGUCUGACAGAUUUAAGGUAAGAUUGAUCUCAAAUUUGACAUUGGUUAAUCGAUUCGCACCCUCCAAUCUCUUCUGCGUCGCUCAUCUAGGGUUUCUUCCAGAAAUCGCAGUAGGAAGUGGUUGCAGUUUUUAGGAAGAAGAAAGUGAAAAGGAGUUCUUCAGAGAGCAAAUCAAAGCAUUGUUAUGGUAGUAUGAUUUAGGUAAUGGUUUUUUAAGAAGCAUACUUGAUUAAUGGCUUCCUCCUAAUCGAAGACUGAAAACCCUAAAUCUUUCUUGAUUUCACUAUUUGAAAACUCAAAACCCUAGAUUGAAUCAUCGCCUUUUUGUCUGUUGUUUAAUCUGAAAUUUGAAUUGUAAUAAGGAUGAUCAGCAGGAAAGUGGAGGAGUGAAAUGAAAAUAUUAUAAGGGGUUUGAUGAAGCUUCCUCCUAAUCGAAGAUGCAUCAACUGCAACAGCUUGGUAUGAGUUCCGCCCCAACAGAUUCUUCGUGAAAUGUGUGCGUUUUCAUGUUUAUGUAGGUAAGGUGUUCGAUGAAAUGCUUAUUUGUUUUUUGCAGUCCUGUAAGAGCAAAGUUAUGUAUGAUUCAUAGUCGAAGUCAAUUGGGCUACGAUGACUUUGAUUAGAAUGUUUGGCAGUGUAAUGAACCUAGGAUAGUGUACUAAAUAUUUUGACUUGAUUUUUUUUCACUUCAAGGGCAGAAUCUGGUUGGAAUUUGUAAUUUAGUUUAAUUGAUUGCAGUGUUUUUUUAGCAUAAUGCCAAAUCUUGCUUAUGAAAUUAGUUUUUUUUUAGUUUGUAACAGGUAAUAUUGGGAAAAGGCUUCACUAUUUGCAAUAGACAUCUUCAUAAUGUGAUAGUUAAGAUUUUUAACUGAAAUAUUAAAAAUGGAUCCUUGAUUUCUGACCUCUGAUACUUAAACCAAGUAUGGAGAUUUUCUGAUUUAUAUAUAUACGCAGGAGAUCAACUAUAUGUUGGAUUUAUAAAUGAAGCAUUCUCUGUGUUUUCUCCAUUGAAGCAUAUUUCAAUCAGUCGAAAACACACAUUCCUAACGAUUCUUUGAGGUAUCUUCUCCUUUUACAGAUUUCAAAUCGUAUAUCAGAUCUAAUGUGAUCUUUUCCCUUUCUAUUGCACAUAUACGAAUCAGAUCCAAUCUGUUUAGAAUUAGGGUUUAUUGAAUUUGACUGUUCAUCUUUCAUCUAUUUAGUUUUUUUUAUUAAUAUUAAUCUUUGUUUGAUCCAUCAAUCGUUUAGUUAUGAAACCCAAUUUAUUUUCUUAUAUGUCUUUUUUCCAAUAGGUAAGAGUUUGUUUCAAUUGAACCUAUAUUUUAUUCACUCAUUGACAUCCUCCACUAUUUCUUUAUAUGUUUGGUAUAUUGUUUUUUUUUAAGGAUGGAAAUGCCUUAAUAUGUUUCUGCAGAUGUCAUGAAUAUCCUUAAAGUUGAAAUUGUAAGAACCAUCAGGUAUAUAGUAUUCUUUAAUUGAAUAUUCAUGAAAUAUUAAUUUGUUUACCAACUUAUUAGUUUAUGGUUUCUACUAAUAAUGGAAGCCAUUUGGUUUUGUUGUUGCUGGUGGGUUGGGUUGGGUUAUGCUGGGUGAGGGCCAUAAUAGGUUCGGAUCAUAAUAGGCUAACUAAUAAUGGGUUUAAUUUGGUUCGAGUCAAAAAUGGUUUGGGUUAAAAUAGGUUGGGUUUUAAAUGGGUUGACUAAAAAACACAGCUGGCCAUAUUUAAUAACAAACUAUUAAGGAUUUUUUUUCACACAUUGUCUAAAAAUCUAUUGGUUUAUGUUAUAAGUUUUGUGAUAUCUUGAUUUUAUUCCCGUUUUACAUGUUUAGUUUUUUUCUUAUGGGUAAUGUAAAGUCAGUUUAAGUGUAUAUAUCAUUCUUAGGAAAUGAUAUAUUGUCUCAAAUUGUGUAUGUUUGAAUAUCAAUUCUAAGUAAAGGAUAAUAUUUUUAGUAAAUAUAUAUGGUAUAUAUGUAUGUCUACAGGUAUAUAAACAAUCUUAAGAAUUGAAAUGCCAUUUGAACCACAUUCUUAAACAUCCUUAUCGAACCCUUUUUUUUAUUUUUAUCUAUGGUAAUUCUUUUGAUGUUAGCAGGUUGGAUUCAGUAACGAGUCAAAAAUGGGUUCGGAUCAAAAUAGGCCACGUAAUAAUUGGUUCAAUUUGGGUUCGGAUGAAAUACGAAGCAGUGUUUCAGGUGUUUUAUGGACCCUAUCUAGCUGUUAAAAGCUAUGGUGUGAUCGAGUGGUCAAUGGGCAUCACUCAUGUUCCAUCAAUUCGUGUCUGGGGGCUGCAUGGAUGGUCAAACAUUCCCGAAAAAACAACUGGCUGUCAAAACUGGACAGCAAGGUGACACUUUCGAGCGUGAUUUCCAUAUUAAAAGUUUUAGAAUGAUGCAGUAGCGAGUAGGAAACUUUUGCGGCUAUUUGAAAGGUGCUUCAGGGCCGAGAACUCUGUGUAAACAACCAUGGUAAGUGUUGGUAAGGGAUGCCAAAACAGAUUGAGAACGUCAAGACAACAAUGAACGUUUCUGGUCUGAAUCGAGGUGUAUGAAUGACGGGUCUGUACAAACAACCAUGGGUCUCUGCGUAUAUGAAGAACAAAAGAUAGAGCUAGGGCUUCUUGUGCACAAGGAGUUAUGAUAAGAAUCGUUUAUCUAAAAUGAUUGCACCUAAAGACAACUCAUAUGUUAGCAAGUAUGCCAGGUUCAACCUGAUAAAAUUCCCUAUGAUCCUCAAGCUAUCAAGAGAUACAUCGAAAUAAUCCUUGUUGUGUGAAUAUGAAUACUUUUAGAGGAACAUAUGUUAUUGUACUUGUGUGUAGAUAAUUUUUUUCUUUUUUCUUUUUUUUCAUUUUUUAGUGUUUUCAUGUUGCUUUAAUGGCAUGUAAAAAUUAAUCCGCAAAUAGUGUUUCUUCCAAUGUAUGCGUUUUCACAGAA